rnacentral:rRNA from 1 species
UACAGAGGUCUCGAGCGUUAAUCGGAGUCACUGGGCUUAAAGGGUGCGUAGGCGGACUCGCAAGUGCUUUGUGAAAUCCCACGGCUCAACCGUGGAAUUGCUCGGCAGACUGCGUGUCUUGAGGUCGGUAGGGGCCGCCGGAACUCUAGGUGGAGCGGUGAAAUGCGUAGAUAUCUAGAGGAACGCCAAAGGUGAAGACAGGCGGCUGGGCCGAUUCUGACGCUGAGGCACGAAAGCGUGGGGAGCGAACGGG